AUAUUGGUCAAUGGACGCAAGUCUGAACCAGCCAUGCCGCGUGAAGGAUUAAGGCCCUCUGGGUUGUAAACUUCUUUUAUAGGGGAAGAACUGUGAUGAUUCUUCGUCACUUGACGGUACCCUAGGAAUAAGCACCGGCUAACUCCGUGCCAGCAGCCGCGGUAAUACGGAGGGUGCAAGCGUUAUCCGGAUUCACUGGGUUUAAAGGGUGCGUAGGUGGACAGAACAGUCAGUGGUGAAAUCUCCGGGCUUAACCCGGAAAUUGCCGUUGAUACUAUUUGUCUUGAAUAUUGCGGAGGUAAGCGGAAUAUGUCAUGUAGCGGUGAAAUGCUUAGAUAUGACAUAGAACACCAAUUGCGAAGGCAGCUUACUACACAAUUAUUGACACUGAGGCACGAAAGCGUGGGUAGCGAACAGG
rnacentral:rRNA from 1 species